rnacentral:rRNA from 1 species
GAUGAACGCUGGCGGCGUGCUUAACACAUGCAAGUCGAACGAGAAGUGAAGACGGAAACCUUCGGGCGGAAGGCUUUAUUUCGAGUGGCGGACGGGUGAGUAACGCGUGGGUAACCUGCCUCAUACAGGGGGAUAACAGUUGGAAACGACUGUUAAUACCGCAUAAGACCACAGCACCGCAUGGUGCGGGGGGAAAAGCUCCGGUGGUAUGAGAUGGACCCGCGUUCGAUUAGCCAGUUGGCGGGGUAACGGCCCACCAAAGCGACGAUCGAUAGCCGAUCUGAGAGCAUGACCGGCCACAUUGGGACUGAGACACGGCCCAAACUCCUACGGGAGGCAGCAGUGGGGAAUAUUGCACAAUGGGGGAAACCCUGAUGCAGCGACGCCGCGUGAGUGAAGAAGUAUUUCGGUAUGUAAAGCUCUAUCAGCAGGGAAGAAAAUGACGGUACCUGAGUAAGAAGCCCCGGCUAACUACGUG